rnacentral:rRNA from 1 species
GACGAACGCUGGCGGCGUGCCUAACACAUGCAAGUCGAACGGUGAUACAUGAGCAGCAAUGUGAGUGUAUCAUAGUGGCGGCCGGGUGAGUAACGCGUGAGAGACCGGGCUUUAAGAGGGGGAUAACACAGGGAAACCGGUGCUAAUACAGCGAAAGCCCACAGUACCGCAUGGUAAAGAGGUAAAAGGAGAAAUCCGCUUAAAGGUGGGAUCGCGUCCCAUUAGCUAGUUGGUGAGGUAAUGGCCCACGAAGGCUUCGAUGGGUAGCCGACCUGAGAGGGUGAUCGGCCACACUGGAACUGAGAAACGGGCCAGACUCCUACGGGAGGCAGCAGGGGGGAAUAUUGGGCAAUGGGCGAAAGCCUGACCCAGCAACGCCGCGUGAGGGAAGAAGGUUUUCGGAUUGUAAACCUCUGUCCUUGGGGACGAAAAAAAUGACGGUACCCAGGGAGGAAGCCCCGGCUAACUACGUGCCAGCCGCCGCUGUAACAC